GCAUUGGUAGUGCAAUGGGUAAGCACAACAGAUCGAAUAUCUGUAGGGGCGAGUUCGAGUCCCGACUGAGACU
rnacentral:tRNA from 1 species